CCCAAAACAACAACACACCUAGGACCCUGUGGGAUCUUAAUCGUUCUCUGAAUAGAAGGGUGAGCUCUAUUUGCACUUUUAAAAAGCCAUCUGCGUGGAGAUAUUAUAGCAUCGUACAAACUUCUCUCUAUUUAACCUUUCACCAAUUACAUAAACCAAUUAAAUUCCUUGUAUGAUUCCCGCUACACAGCACUUCAUCAUAGGCUUAAACGAUGUUUGUGCAGCGGCAGUAAAUAGGUUUUUGUUUACUUGCGCUGCAUAUUUCGUUAGAAGUAAAUGGUAUGUAUUUUAUUCCUGAAUCUUCUUUUCAGUGGUCUAAAACUUAUUUAUGAUUUUGGAAACAGCAGGGCUAGUUCUGAGUAUUGAG